rnacentral:rRNA from 1 species
GAGUUUGAUCAUGGCUCAGAAUCAACGCUGGCGGCGUGCCUCAGACAUGCAAGUCGAACGAUUAAAGCUCUCUUCGGAGAGUGUAUAGAGUGGCGCACGGGUGAGUAACACGUAAGUAAUCUACCUUCGAGUGGGGAAUAACAGUCGGAAACGACUGCUAAUACCGCAUAAUGCAGCGGCAUCGCAAGAUGACAGUUGUUAAAGGAGCAAUUCGCUUGAAGAGGAGCUUGCGGCAGAUUAGCUAGUUGGUAAGGUAAUGGCUUACCAAGGCUACGAUCUGUAUCCGGUCUAAGAGGACGGUCGGACACACUGACACUGAAUAACGGGUCAGACUCCUACGGGAGGCAGCAGUCGGGAAUUUUGGGCGAUGGGCGAAAGCCUGACCCAGCAACGCCGCGUGAGGGAUGAAGUAUUUCGGUAUGUAAACUUCGAAAGAAUAGGAAGAAUAAAUGACGGUACUAUUUAUAAGGUCCGGCUAACUACGUGCCAGCAGCCGCGGUAAUACGUAGGGACCAAGCGUUGUUCGGAUUUACUGGGCGUAAAGGGCGCGUAGGCGGCAAUUCAAGUCAUCUGUGAAAUCUCCGGGCUUAACUCGGAACGGUCAGAUGAUACUGCUUUGCUAGAGUGCAGAAGGGGCAAUCGGAAUUCUUG